CCUGGAUUGAGAGGGGGACCAGGGCUCACGACACCCUAACCAGCAUUGUGAAAGACAAACGGUGGCUAAAAAAUGUCCAUAAGUUCCUGAACUUCAAAUCUACAUCUGAGCUGGAAUCUUUUCAAAACCAUAUUUUAAUGUAUGCAUCAAAGAGGUUUUCUUACUCCCCCCUGUCUAUGAGGCAAGGACCAUCCUUGCUGCGCUGGACUACAACUACCACAAGAAUCGUCCAGCCAAAAUAAACGCACAUGGAAAGAAGAUGGGCAGAGUGUUCAAGAAGAGGUCCAAUCGAUGGACCUUGUACACUGAAAAAACUCCAAAGACAUACAGUUACAUUCCCAACCUGCAGAGGCAUAUACUGGAAAAAGAGGGUGUCAUCAGAAGGAGGUCUCCCAAAAGUCAUGAAGCAAAGACCCAGUGAUCCCCGGAGACUUGGACUUCUCCCUGUCCUUCCACCACCAUCGACCCAAGACCUUGUUCAGGCCCAUGUCAGCUGAGGUCAUGGACCUGUCUUGCAGCAGAGUCCAACAGCUGUUGAUUAGAUGGAAUCACAGACAUCAAGGUGUUGCAGAGAGGACCCAGCUGUGAGAACACACCACACCACAAAGAUGCCUGUAGAAUCUCUCAGGGUUACUCCUUUUUAGACAGUCUCCCAAUUUGUUAUUAC